rnacentral:rRNA from 1 species
UACGAAGGGGGCUAGCGUUGCUCGGAAUCACUGGGCGUAAAGCGCACGUAGGCGGACUCUUAAGUCAGGGGUGAAAUCCUGGAGCUCAACUCCAGAACUGCCUUUGAUACUGGGAGUCUUGAGUUCGGGGAGAGGUGAGUGGAACUUGCGAGUGUAGAGGUGAAAUUCGUAGAUAUUCGCAAGAACACCAGUGGCGAAGGCGGCUC